UACGUAGGUGGCAAGCGUUGUCCGGAUUUACUGGGCGUAAAGAGCGCGCAGGCGGUCGUUCAAGUCGCGUGUGAAAGCCCCCGGCUCAACUGGGGAGGGUCACGCGAUACUGAUCGACUCGAAGGCAGGAGAGGGAAGUGGAAUUCCCCGGUGUAGUGGUGAAAUGCGUAGAUAUCAGGAGGAACACCGAUGGCGAAGGCAGCUCUCUGGGACGGUACUGACGCUGAGACGCGAAAGCGUGGGGAGCGAACAGG
rnacentral:rRNA from 1 species